rnacentral:rRNA from 1 species
GUAGGGAAUAUUGGACAAUGGGGGCAACCCUGAUCCAGCCAUGCCGCGUGAGUGAAGAAGGCCCUCGGGUUGUAAAGCUCUUUUGUCCGGAAAGAAAAGCUUCGGGUUAAUACCCCGGGGUUCUGACGGUACCGGAAGAAUAAGCACCGGCUAACUUCGUGCCAGCAGCCGCGGUAAUACGAAGGGUGCAAGCGUUACUCGGAAUUACUGGGCGUUAAGCGUGCGUAGGUGGUUGUUUAAGUCUGAUGUGAAAGCCCUGGGCUCAACCUGGGAAUGGCAUUGGAAACUGGGCAGCUAGAGUGCGGUAGAGGGUAGUGGAAUUCCCGGUGUAGCAGUGAAAUGCGUAGAGAUCGGGAGGAACAUCUGUGGCGAAGGCGACUGCCUGGACCAGCACUGACACUGAGGCACGAAAGCGUGGGGAGCAAAC